UAUUGGUCAAUGGGCUUACGCCUGAACCAGCCAAGUCGCGUGAGGGAAGACUGCCCUAUGGGUUGUAAACCUCUUUUGUCAGGGAGCAAUUGGCGCUACGUGUAGCGUUAUCGAGAGUACCUGAAGAAAAAGCAACGGCUAACUCCGUGCCAGCAGCCGCGGUAAUACGGAGGAUGCGAGCGUUAUCCGGAUUUAUUGGGUUUAAAGGGUGCGUAGGCGGAAUGCCAAGUCAGCGGUAGAAGCGCGGGGCUCAACCUCGCUCCGCCGUUGAAACUGGCGUUCUUGAGUGGUCGAGAAGAAGGCGGAAUGCGUGGUGUAGCGGUGAAAUGCAUAGAUAUCACGCAGAACCCCGAUUGCGAAGGCAGCCUUCCGGCGCCCUACUGACGCUGAGGCACGAAAGUGCGGGGAUCG
rnacentral:rRNA from 1 species